rnacentral:rRNA from 1 species
AGAGAGACACAUCCGCGGUUCGUCUCCGGCGGCGCCCGCCCCCCGCCGGCAAACCCACCCAUAGCAACCCCCCCGAAUAUAACCCAUAGUGGGCCGACGCCCAUUCUAGGGCUGGCUCACUCUCCGAACCCUCUUCCGUAGGGUGACCUGCGGAAGGAUCAUUAGAGUGAGCCGGCGCUUGAUUGCGCGGCAGCCACACAGUGGGUAGAUUCGGGGGGUUGCUUUGGUGGGUUUGCCUGCGUUAGCAGGCCUGCCCGCCAGAGACUAAACACAGAUUUAUUUCUUUCUAGAGAGCAGUCACCAAAUAUACCAAUUAUCAAAACUUUCAACAACGGAUCUCUUGGUUCUCGCAACGAUGAAGAACGCAGCGAAUUGCGAUAAGUAUUGUGAAUUGCAGAUUUUCGUGAAUCAUCGAAUCUUUGAACGCACAUUGCACCCUCUGGCAUUCCAGAGGGUAUGCCUGUUUGAGCGUCAUUUCUCUCUCAGGGAGCAGCCGUCGUGGUUGCGUCCUGGUGAUGCGCGAGACCCUGCCCUGGGUCCGCCCGAAAUAACGCUGGCCAGAGUCCCAGCCCACGCCGCUAGAGCCUGUGGUGAAUGUACUAGGUAUUGCCAUCUCAUUCCAACAGCAGCGGGGAGGGCUACGCAGGGACGCGGCACACACAACAACCGCCUAAAGGUUGACCUCAAAUCAGGUAGGACUACCCGCUGAACUUAAGCAUAUCUAACGCGGGAAGAAAAAGGAUCAUUAGAGUGAGCCGGCGCUGGAUUGCGGGCAGCCACACAGUGGGUAGAUUCGGGGGGGUUGCUUUUGGUGGGGUUUGCCUGCGUUAGCAGGCCGCCGCCGAAGACUAAACACAGAUUUUAUUUCUUUCUAGAGAGCAAUCCCAAAUAUACCAAUUAUCAAAACUUUCAACAACGGAAACUUUGGGGUUCUCGCAACGAUUAAAAAAAAGCAGCGGAAUUGCGGAUAAGUUAUUGGUGAAAUUGGCAAAAUUUUUCUGGAAAUCAUCCAAAUCUUUUGAAACGCAAAUUGGCACCCUCUGGGCAUUUCCGAAGGGGUAAUGCCUGGUUUUGAAGCGGUCAUUUUCUCUUCUCAGGGGAAGCCAGCCCUUCGUGGGUUUUGCCGUCCUGGGUUGAAUGGCGCGAAGAACCCUGCCCCUG